AACGAACGUUGGCGGCGUGGAUUAGGCAUGCAAGUCGAACGCGAAUCCCUGGGCAACUGGGGAGGAGAGUGGCGAAAGGGGCAGUAAGGCGUGGGUAACCUACCCUCCGGGCCGGGAUAGCUUCGGGAAACUGAAGGUAAUACCGGGCGACGCAGCGAGAUCGCAUGGUCUUGCUGCCAAAGGUCCGCCGCCGGGGGAGGGGCUCACGUGGUAUUAGCUAGACGGCGGGGUAACGGCCCACCGUGGCAAAGAUGCCUAGCAGGUGUGAGAGCACGACCUGCGCCACUGGCACUGAGACACUGGCCAGACACCUACGGGUGGCUGCAGUCGAGGAUCUUCGGCAAUGGGCGCAAGCCUGACCGAGCGACGCCGCGUGUGCGAUGAAGGCCAUCGGGUUGUAAAGCACUGUCGAGGGGGAGGAAGCCGCAAGGUUGACCUAUCCCUGGAGGAAGCACGGGCUAAGUUCGUG
rnacentral:rRNA from 1 species